UAAAUAGUUAAAUUUUGGAAAGAAUUUAAAAUUAAAAUAAUAAUUAAGGUAAAUUAUACUUUUGGUCCGAGACUUGUAACACUUUACUCUUUAAAUUUUAAUUAAUUAUAAUUUUUAUCCCGAACUAUAAGACUCGUGAUAUUUUAGUGAUCAAACUUUUUAAAUUAUUACAAUUAAGUGACACAGUCUAAUAUUUUUCAAUAAGUAUUGAUAUAUUACUAAUAUCCAAGUAAUUUAGCACUUUAAUUAUUGUUACAUCAUCAAGUAGGAUACUGUUACAACUCAUAAAAUUCGAGAACUAUAGAUUUAAAGUGUCGCGCGCUUCAUAGUUUGUGAACCAAAAGUGUAAUUUAUCCUAAU
rnacentral:lncRNA from 1 species